UGGGGAAUAUUGCACAAUGGGCGCAAGCCUGAUGCAGCCAUGCCGCGUGUGUGAAGAAGGCCUUCGGGUUGUAAAGCACUUUCAGCGGGGAGGAAGGCGGUGAGGGUAAUAACCUCACCGAUUGACGUUACCCGCAGAAGAAGCACCGGCUAACUCCGUGCCAGCAGCCGCGGUAAUACGGAGGGUGCAAGCGUUAAUCGGAAUUACUGGGCGUAAAGCGCACGCAGGCGGUCUGUCAAGUCGGAUGUGAAAUCCCCGGGCUCAACCUGGGAACUGCAUUCGAAACUGGCAGGCUAGAGUCUUGUAGAGGGGGGUAGAAUUCCAGGUGUAGCGGUGAAAUGCGUAGAGAUCUGGAGGAAUACCGGUGGCGAAGGCGGCCCCCUGGACGAAGACUGACGCUCAGGUGCGAAAGCGUGGGGAGCAAACAGG
rnacentral:rRNA from 1 species